UUGGCAUUGAUAUCGCUCGCCGUGCAAACAAAGCACGUAUGACCUACCUGUCUGCCAAGUAAAAGUCAAGUACUUUUAGAAUGAAUAUAUAAGGAUAGGAUGAGAGAGCAGUGUCAUGCAGGAAAACAAGCGUCGACAGAGGAAGACUCUCAAGUUCGUAUUCGCGCUAUGUCUGGUCAGAUUAUGUGCUUUGGAAAACAGGAUCACGUGUACUACAUAGUGAUUUCAUGUUUACACUCUGGCAGCAGACAUGUGUACCGAUUCGAGCACAAAAUUUAUUAGUUGCAUACUAUUAGUUGCUGUACAUUUAUUAAAUUAAUUGGUUAAAUCGAUUAACCACGACUCAUGCAGUAGUAAUAUACUAAUGAAUAUUAGACUCGACCAUCGCGUUAUUAAGUUAAACUCUGGUCAAGCGCCAUCAACCAAGCCCUCCUUUAUCAGCCCGGAGCAUCCCCGGAAAUAAUAAUAACAUCGGCCAACAUAGCAGACAACAAUUUGGAGUCACGCUUCGUAUUUUGUAAGCUGAUUUGCCUACAGAAUGGUUCAUUAUUAUUUGGAAUGAAACUGAAUUUUGUGGAGGAAAAUAAAUGUACAGGAAAUGAU